ACGUAGGGGGCAAGCGUUGUCCGGAUUUAUUGGGCGUAAAGAGCGUGUAGGCGGCUAGGUAGGUCCGUUGUGAAAACUCGAGGCUCAACCUCGAGACGCCGGUGGAAACCAUCUAGCUAGAGUCCGGAAGAGGAGAGUGGAAUUCCUGGUGUAGCGGUGAAAUGCGUAGAUAUCUGGAGGAACACCGGUGGCGAAGGCGGCAUCCUGGACCGAGAUUGACGCUGAUGCGCGAAAGCCAGGGGAGCAAACGGGA
rnacentral:rRNA from 1 species